UUCUUAAAUGGAAAAUUUUAUGUUUUGAUCCAAAAUCUAACUGGUUAAUUUCGGUCUGAUUCAAAUUUAGUUUCAACUAAUUUAAAUUUGAUCAAUUUUGAUCUGAUUUUAAUUUCAAAUUGGAACAAUUUGAUUCUGACUUCAAACCAAACCGUACCCACCCUCUUUCUCUAUGUAUAUAUUGAUGUUUAAGCGUAAAAUAAGCUUUCCGCGUAGUAUUGUUAAAUAUCAAAGAAACAGAGGCGAAUAUGGUAAACAACUUUUUUUCCCCCAAUUAUACAACAAAAAUAGUAUAUUUCCUGCAAUCUGUAGUUCACAAAUGUCUUAAAAGCGAAAAUCAGGAAAUUUCAUAGCCAAAGAUCAUUAUGGGAAAGGAAAAUUCUCCUUGUAAAAAACUGAUAAAAUGAAAAUAAAUUAUUAUUAGAGUUCAUUUAAUUCGAUCUAAAUAACGAGUAGUCAUUGAAAGAACUUUUCAAAGAGUAGCUUUGAACUUUUAAAUUCAUCAAGUAAUGUGGAGGGCUCACAAGAAGUGGUAGAAUUACCUUGCUUGUAGCUCAUCCAUUGAAAAAACAGAGAGAGAGAGAGAGA
rnacentral:misc_RNA from 1 species